AAUCAACGCUGGCGGCGUGCCUAACACAUGCAAGUCGCACGAGAAGGGGAGCAAUCCCUGAGUAAAGUGGCGCACGGGUGAGUAACACGUGAAUAAUCUACCUCCGAGUGGGGAAUAACUGAGAGAAAUCUUAGCUAAUACCGCAUAACACUUACGAGUCAAAGCAGCAAUGCGCUUGGAGAGGAGUUCGCGGCCGAUUAGUUAGUUGGCGGGGUAAUGGCCCACCAAGACGAUGAUCGGUAUCCGGCCUGAGAGGGCGCACGGACACACUGGGAACUGAAACACGGUCCAGACUCCUACGGGAGGCAGCAGUGGGGAAUUUUGCGCAAGUGGGGGAAACCCUGACGCAGCAACGCCGCGUGGAGGAUGAAGUAUCUUGGUACGUAAACUCCUUUUCGAUUGGGAAGAUAAUGACGGUACCAAUAGAAGAAG
rnacentral:rRNA from 1 species